rnacentral:rRNA from 1 species
UACGUAGGGCGCGAGCGUUGUCCGGAAUUAUUGGGCGUAAAGGGCGCGUAGGCGGCCUGGCAAGUGGAAGGUGAAAUCCCUCGGCUUAACCGAGGAACUGCCCUCCAAACUGCUUGGCUUGAGUUCGGGAGAGGUGAGUGGAACUGCGAGUGUAGAGGUGAAAUUCGUAGAUAUUCGCAAGAACACCAGUGGCGAAGGCGGCUCACUGGCCCGAUACUGACGCUGAGGCACGAAAGCGUGGGGAGCAAACAGG